rnacentral:tRNA from 1 species
CAGAAAAUAGUACAAAUAAGUAUAUAAGUUUUGGGGAUUUAGGAUGAGGAGUCUUUUCUGA